rnacentral:rRNA from 1 species
AACGAACGCUGGCGGCAGGCCUAACACAUGCAAGUCGAGCGGACCCUUCGGGGUUAGCGGCGGACGGGUGAGUAACGCGUGGGAAUAUGCCCUUCUCUACGGAAUAGUCCUGGGAAACUGGGGGUAAUACCGUAUACGCCCUUUGGGGGAAAGAUUUAUCGGGGAAGGAUUAGCCGGCGUUGGAUUAGGUAGUUGGUGGGGUAAUGGCCUACCAAGCCGACGAUCCAUAGCUGGUUUGAGAGGAUGAUCAGCCACACUGGGACUGAGACACGGCCCAGACUCCUACGGGAGGCAGCAGUGGGGAAUCUUAGACAAUGGGGGCAACCCUGAUCGAGCCAUGCCGCGUGAGUGAUGAAGGCCUUAGGGUUGUAAAGCUCUUUCAGCUGGGAAGAUAAUGACGGUACCAGCAGAAGAAGCCCCGGCUAACUCCGUG